GAUGAACGCUGGCGGCGUGCCUAAUACAUGCAAGUCGAGCGAACGGACGAGAAGCUUGCUUCUCUGAUGUUAGCGGCGGACGGGUGAGUAACACGUGGAUAACCUACCUAUAAGACUGGGAUAACUUCGGGAAACCGGAGCUAAUACCGGAUAAUAUUUUGAACCGCAUGGUUCAAAAGUGAAAGACGGUCUUGCUGUCACUUAUAGAUGGAUCCGCGCUGCAUUAGCUAGUUGGUAAGGUAACGGCUUACCAAGGCAACGAUGCAUAGCCGACCUGAGAGGGUGAUCGGCCACACUGGAACUGAGACACGGUCCAGACUCCUACGGGAGGCAGCAGUAGGGAAUCUUCCGCAAUGGGCGAAAGACUGACGGAGCAACGCCGCGUGAGUGAUGAAGGUCUUCGGAUCGUAAAACUCUGUUAUUAGGGAAGAACAUAUGUGUAAGUAACUGUGCACAUCUUGACGGUACCUAGUCAGAAAGCCACGGCUAACUACGUG
rnacentral:rRNA from 1 species